GCAAUCUUUUUUAUCGAUAUGAACUCUCCAAAAAAAUUACGCUGUUAUCCCUAAAGUAACUUAAAUUUUUAAUCAUUAUAAAUGGAUCAAUUAUUCAUAAAUUAAUGGUUUUUAAAAUUAAAAGUUUUUUAAAUUUUAAUAUCACCCCAAUAAAAUAUUUUAAUUUAUUAUAAUAAAAAUAAUCUUUAUAAUUAAAAUAAACAAAAUAUAAAGAUUUAUAGGGUCUUCUCGUCUUUUAAAUUUAUUUUAGCUUUUUGACUAAAAAAUAAAAUUCUAUAAAAAAUUUAAAUGAAACAGUUAAUAUUUCGUCCAACCAUUCAUUCCAGCCUUCAAUUAAAAGACUAAUGAUUAUGCUACCUUUGCACAGUUAGAAUACUGCGGCCAUUUAAAAUUUUCAGUGGGCAGGUUAG
rnacentral:rRNA from 1 species